ensembl:lncRNA
CAAAGACGUAAUUCUGUGGGCCUAUAUGGAAGCUCCACCGCCUGUCUUGUAGGAAAACUUGAGAGGAACUCUACCUCUGCCUGGAACGCGACACCUAUUCCAGUCUGAGGCAUGGCCCUUAAGAACAGGCCCCGGGUGGCAUCUGGUCAGAUCUUGGUCCACAUGCCUGUUCCCCUGGCUCUCUGCAGAACACUGUCCCCUGGUCGCACCUCAGACAGCAGAAAAGCUACCAACUCCUGCAGUGUCAGGAGGAGUAAAACCAGCCAGGGAGGAGGUGGAGGAGCAAGAGAGGGAAGGGAGUGGUGCCCUGGACCGUCCAGACGGGCGUGGCUGGACUUGCUCUCUCACACCUCCGUCAGUAGGCUGCAGG